rnacentral:misc_RNA from 1 species
CUUCGUCGUCGGCGGAAGCCAGUACGCCAGCGGCUGAGCCAGCGCCGUACUUCUGUUCGAACUGAGCUUUAAGUGACGGGUCGGCCUUCAGGGCGGCUAUAGCCCCGGCGGGGGCGUUGACAGAGGAACGNNNNNNNNNCUUGGCUCCCUUCAUAUAAGGCGAGUAAUCCUUGUUGAAGUCGGGGUUAAACCUUCGGCCACCAAGCGCCUUCUUGUCGGGGAUCGUGAUCGGAUUUUCGUCGGCAAACUUGUUCCAAGCAGCGUCAGCGCCAUUGAUGUUG